CUGUCUGCUGCCGGACACUUGGCCCGCCACCACGCGGGUCAUAAUUCCGGCCUCGUUUGCUCCGGGCCCUGGGGGAACCCAUCGGGUGCCCCCAGCGCUGGGACGGGAGGUGAGACUGGCACAGGGCGCGUCCACCCGCCACGGGCCGCCCUUCCCACUCCCCCUCCCCCCUGCAGGCUCCGCCCACCCCGGGGGCGUGAACCGCUCGCCAAUCUGAGCAGCUGGCCUUCGGUUGGUCGAGGAGGCCAAGCCGGGUGUCAGCGCAAGGCGGGCACUUGGGGCCCGGAACUCGGACGAACAAUCCGACCCCACAAGGGAAAGGUUAAGUGCAGGGGGGCUCAGAGGUGCUUACCUCAUCAGAGUCGGCUCUCUCCUCAGCAGGUGGACGUGGACUUCAGAUGUCACACACCCGUCCCCAGUGACCACUCCAGCCUCUUCCUCUCUGAAAUCCUGGAUCCCUUCGCUUCUUUCGUGUGACUAAUUUCUCUCCUGAGUUCCUUUUGCUGAACGUCUUUCCUCCUAUCAACCCAUGUAUGCACUUGCCCUUAGGCCCUCCGUUGGUCCUCCAUGUGCUCUUCCUCCGGGACCCCGUGCACCUCUGGCUUCAGCCUCUGUCUCUGCGUGGCACAUCCUGUCCCGACCGCUCAUCUGGGGAGCGUUCCCCCUUCAUUAUUCUGGCAUCACCUCAGGCUCAGGAAUGAAAGCAAACUUGCUGUCCUCAAAGUGUCUGAUCUUUAAUAGAAGUAUUUGGAAUUUGGGAUCUGGAAGGAAAAGAAGUAGUUCUAGCAAGAGUCAUUUCUGUUUGGAUUGCCUCAAAUAAAGGAAGCCACCAGCCCGGUGCCUGAGCAGAGCGGACGUGUGAGUGCGGCAGGGGUGCGUCGGCCCCACACGGCUGUCAUGCAGUCCGUGAGCCGAGGGACCACAGCCGGAAGCCGGCUCCUGGCCCGGGCGUGCACGCAGGAGCAACCUGGACGUGACUCUUGAUCUUUUAACCUCCUCAUCUGCCUGCUUGGAAAACUUGAAAUCAAGCACUUUGAGGACUUGUGAUAAAAAUAUUAUUGAAAACUCGGUGUAUAACUGAUGGCCUGUAACGUUUUAAAUGUUCCUGCAACCUUCCCAAAAGACAAAAUACUUCAAAACAAA